rnacentral:rRNA from 1 species
GAUGAACGCUGGCGGCGUGCCUAAUACAUGCAAGUCGAGCGAACAGACGAGGAGCUUGCUCCUCUGACGUUAGCGGCGGACGGGUGAGUAACACGUGGAUAACCUACCUAUAAGACUGGGAUAACUUCGGGAAACCGGUGCUAAUACCGGAUAAUAUAUUGAACCGCAUGGUUCAAUAGUGAAAGACGGUUUUGCUGUCACUUAUCGAUGGAUCCGCGCCGCAUUAGCUAGUUGGUAAGGUAACGGCUUACCAAGGCAACGAUGCGUAGCCGACCUGAGAGGGUGAUCGGCCACACUAGAACUGAGACACGGUCCAGACUCCUACGGGAGGCAGCAGUAGGGAAUCUUCCGCAAUGGGCGAAAGCCUGACGGAGCAACGCCGCGUGAGUGAUGAAGGUCUUCGGAUCGUAAAACUCUGUUAUUAGGGAAGAACAAAUGUGUAAGUAACUAUGCACGUCUUGACGGUACCUAAUCAGAAAGCCACGGCUAACUACGUG